GACAGGGGGCUCGAGCGUUAAUCGGAAUCACUGGGCUUAAAGGGCGCGUAGGCGGGCGGUCAAGUCAGAGGUGAAAUCCCACGGCUCAACCGUGGAAGUGCCCCUGAUACUGACUGUCUCGAGGGAGGUAGGGGCGUGCGGAACUUCCGGUGGAGCGGUGAAAUGCGUAGAUAUCGGAAGGAACACCGAUGGCGAAAGCAGCGCGCUGGACCUCUACUGACGCUGAGGCGCGAAAGCCAGGGGAGCAAACGGG
rnacentral:rRNA from 1 species